rnacentral:tRNA from 1 species
GCGGAUAUGGCGAAACUGGCAGACGCGCUAGAUUCAGGUUCUAGUGAGCUCACGCUCAUGCAGGUUCAAGUCCUGUUAUCCGCACCA